rnacentral:rRNA from 1 species
AUUGAACGCUGGCGGCAUGCCUUACACAUGCAAGUCGAAUGGUAACAGGUCUUCGGAUGCUGACGAGUGGCGAACGGGUGAGUAAUACAUCGGAACGUGCCUAGUAGUGGGGGAUAACUACUCGAAAGAGUGGCUAAUACCGCAUGAGAUCUACGGAUGAAAGCAGGGGAUCGCAAGACCUUGUGCUACUAGAGCGGCCGAUGGCAGAUUAGGUAGUUGGUGGGAUAAAAGCUUACCAAGCCGACGAUCUGUAGCUGGUCUGAGAGGACGAUCAGCCACACUGGGACUGAGACACGGCCCAGACUCCUACGGGAGGCAGCAGUGGGGAAUUUUGGACAAUGGGCGAAAGCCUGAUCCAGCAAUGCCGCGUGCAGGAUGAAGGCCUUCGGGUUGUAAACUGCUUUUGUACGGAACGAAAAGCCCCGGGUUUAUACCCUGGGGUCAUGACGGUACCGUAAGAAUAAGCACCGGCUAACUACGUGCCAGCCGCCGCCGUAAAAC